UUGGAGGGCAAGUCUGGUGCCAGCAGCCGCGGUAAUUCCAGCUCCAAUAGCGUAUAUUAAAGUUGUUGCAGUUAAAAAGCUCGUAGUUGAACUUCGGGGUUAGUAGGUUGGUCAUGCCUCUGGUAUGUACUGAUCUCACUGAUUCCUCCUUCCUUAUGAACCGUAAUGCCAUUAAUUUGGUGUUGCGGGGAAUUUGGACUGUUACUUUGAAAAAAUUAGAGUGUUUAAAGCAGGCUAACGCUUGAAUACAUUAGCAUGGAAUAAUGAAAUAGG
rnacentral:rRNA from 1 species